CUGGAUGGGAAGGUUGUAUAGCAAGAGAAAGGUCUGGAAAUCCUGUCACCACUAUAUAAUUACAUACAUGGACAGGAUAUCAGCAGAUAGCAUCCCUAGAUCAUUACAUACAUGGACAGGAGAACAGCAGAUAUCAUCCCUAGAUCAUUACAUACAUGGACAGGAGAACAGCAGAUAUCAUCACUAGAUUAUUACAUACAUGGACAGGAGAACAGCGGAUAUCAUCCCUAGAUCAU